rnacentral:lncRNA from 1 species
CUGAAAAGGAGCCCUUAAUAAUCCUGCCCUCCUUCCUUACUGGCAUUUUUCUAAAGAAGGAAGGGAGCCAUCCACAUGACAAUUACUAUUUCAUGGAGAGGAAAAAGGAAAAAAACCAAAUUGAUACAUUGAAAAAGUCUGAAAAAUACUAUAUUACUGUAACAGUUGUACAGUCUCCACCUCCAAAAAGAGUAUCUACAUUCUCCAAUACAUUCUUCUCUCCAUCACUCUAUUAUCUCCAGAAGAUCCAAUUCCAGUUUCAGCUCUUACCAGAGAAUACAAUCUACUUAAAUCCAAUAAACAUUUAUCAGCUGGC